UGUCCAGGUACUGUCAUGGGGAUGUCCAGGUACUGUUAUGGGGAUGUCCAGGUACUGUCAUGGGUAUGUCCAGGUACUGUCAUGGGGAUGUCCAGGUACUGUCAUGGGGAUGUCCAGGUACUGUCAUGGGGAUGUCCAGGUACUGUCAUG